rnacentral:rRNA from 1 species
GUUAUUCCUAACUGUGCAAAGGUAGCAUAAUCAUUAGUCUUUUAAUUGAAGGCUGGAAUGAAUGGUUGAAUGAAAUAUUAACUGUUUCAUUUUAAUUAAUNAUUGAAUUUUAUUUUUUAGUCAAAAAGCUAAAAUAAUUUUAAAAGACGAGAAGACCCUAUAAAUCUUUAUAAUUNNUUAGUAUUNUUNNNUAUUUAGAAAAAUUAAAAUUUUAUGCGAUAAAUUAUUUUAUUGGGGUGAUAUUGAAAUUUAUUAAACUUUUAAUUAAUUAAUAACAUAAAUUAAUGAUUUAUNUGAUCCAUUANNUAAUGAUUAAAAAUUUAAGUUACUUUAGGGAUAACAGCNGUAAUUUUUUUAGAGAGUUCAUAUUGAUAAAAAAGAUUGCGACCUCGAUGUUGGAUUAAGAUAUAA